UCCGGGAGAAGCUCACCGCCGAGGCCACGCACUGGGUGCCCGUCACCCGCGCCCCGCCUCGGGGAAGGUCUGAGAGAAGGGCCACCCGCGGCUCCAGCAGAGCCCC
rnacentral:RNase_P_RNA from 2 species